CCUACGGGAGGCAGCAGUGAGGAAUAUUGGUCAAUGGGCGCUAGCCUGAACCAGCCAAGUAGCGUGAAGGAUGACUGCCCUAUGGGUUGUAAACUUCUUUUAUAUGGGAAUAAAGUGCAGUAUGUAUACUGCUUUGCAUGUACUUUAUGAAUAAGGAUCGGCUAACUCCGUGCCAGCAGCCGCGGUAAUACGGAGGAUCCGAGCGUUAUCCGGAUUUAUUGGGUUUAAAGGGAGUGUAGGCGGGUUGUUAAGUCAGUUGUGAAAGUUUGCGGCUCAACCGUAAAAUUGCAGUUGAUACUGGCAGCCUUGAGUACAGUAGAGGUAGGCGGAAUUCGUGGUGUAGCGGUGAAAUGCUUAGAUAUCACGAAGAACUCCGAUUGCGAAGGCAGCCUGCUGGACUGUAACUGACGCUGAUGCUCGAAAGUGUGGGUAUCAAACAGGAUUAGAUACCCCAGUAGUC
rnacentral:rRNA from 1 species